UGGAUUUUUAGCCCUGGUAGGAAGCUUCCCGGAAACGAAAGUCUUCCGGUUCCGGGGGAAGUAUGGUUGCAAAGCUGAAACUUAAAGGAAUUGACGGAAGGGCACCACCAGGAGUGGAGCCUGCGGCUUAAUUUGACUCAACACGGGGAAACUCACCCGGCCCGGACACCGUAAGGAUUGACAGAUUGAUAGCUCUUUCAUGAUUCGGUGGUUGGUGGUGCAUGGCCGUUCUUAGUUCGUGGAUCGAUUUGUCUGGUUUAUUCCGAUAACGAGCGAGACUCUAGCCUACUAAAUAGUAACGGAAUUACUACUGUUCCAGUUGCUUCUUAGAGGGAUUUUCGGUGUUUAGCCGCACGAGAUUGAGCAAUAACAGGUCUGUGAUGCCCUUAGAUGUCCGGGGCUGCACGCGCGCUACACUGGCGAAAUCAGCGUGCUGUAUCCAUUCUCGAAAGGGAUUGGUAAACCCAUGAAAAUUUGCCGUGCUUGGGAUCGGGAAAUUGCAAUUAUUUUCCGUGAACGAAGGAUUUUCCAAGGUAAGUGCAAACUCCCCCACCCCCGCUCCUGAAUUACGGUCCCUCCCCCCCUU
rnacentral:rRNA from 1 species